AAAUCUUCUUACUUUGUUUAUUAAACUCCUUGUUGUAAGGUUUGUUGGUAAGCCCGUAAAACCAACAUUGUAGGUUGUUGGUAAGCCCGUAAAACCAACGUAGGUUGUUGGUAAGCCCGUAAAACCAACAUAGGUUGUUGGUAAGCCCGUAAAACCAACGUAGGUUGUUGGUCAACCCGCAAAACCAACAUAGGUUCGUUGGUGAGCCCGUAAAACCAACAUAGAUUUUUGGUGAACCCGGAAAACCAAAGUGUAAAGGUUUUUGGAUUGUGAGCCCGGAAAACAAUCCAACUGUAAUCCGCGGGAUUAUAGUGAAUUCCCAAGGGGUCGCUUGGGGAGUAGACGUAGGUGCUAAGGAGAGCACCGAACCACUAUACUUCUUGUUGUUUGUAUUGUGAUUUGUUUAAUUCUACUAACUCAUCAUUUAACAUAAGUAAGAUAGUUAAAAUUAAGAGAAACCAAUUCACCCUCCCCCCCCCUCUUGGCUUGUCACCUUGGGCAACAAGUGGUAUCAGAGCAAGGUGCUCCAAUAGUAAUUAUUGAUCUCACAAUCAAGAGUUAAAGAUCAUGACAACCCAAGUGGGAUGUUCUAUGAGUGAGGGACAAUUAAUUGAUAGACCUCCACUAUUUAAUGGUAUAAACUACACACAUUGGAAAGCACGCAUGCGCAUUUUCAUUCAAGCAUAUGACUAUGAUUUAUGGAGUAUCAUAGUCAAUGGGCUACAUACAAAUGCUAAUCAUGAUAAGAAAUGGCUCAG
rnacentral:lncRNA from 1 species